rnacentral:rRNA from 1 species
UACGUAGGGUGCAAGCGUUGUCCGGAAUUAUUGGGCGUAAAGAGCGCGUAGGCGGCCCGAUAAGUCCGCUGUGAAAGUCCAGGGCUCAACCCUGGAAUGCCGGUGGAUACUGUCGGGCUAGAGUCCGGAAGGGGCGAGUGGAAUUCCUGGUGUAGCGGUGAAAUGCGCAGAUAUCAGGAGGAACACCGAUUGCGAAGGCAGCUCGCUGGAACGUAACUGACGCUGAGACGCGAAAGCGUGGGGAGCAAACAGG